UCGGAAUUACUGGGCGUAAAGUGUGCGCAGGCGGCAAAGCAAGUCGAGUGUGAAAGCCCCGGGCUUAACUUGGGAAUUGCGCUCGAAACUACUUUGCUGGAGUGUGGCAGAGGAAGGUGGAAUUCCACGUGUAGCGGUGAAAUGCGUAGAGAUGUGGAGGAACACCAAUGGCGAAGGCGGCGAUCUGGGAAGAUACUGACGCUGAGGUGCGAAAGCGUGGGGAGCAAACAGG
rnacentral:rRNA from 1 species